UUACAGGAGGCACUAAGAGUACUUGGAUCAGACAACAUGUUCAUAACAGCCAUCUCAGUUCCCUGUGUAAGCACACCAUGAAAGAGUCAGCAGAUCUGCCUGAGGACACUUACGUUAUAAAGCUGCUGUUAUUAAUGACCUCCUACGUUCUUCAUUUCGUUGCACAAUUUCAUGGUAUAGUGGAAGGAAAACAGCAGCAGGCACUGGAUUAGCUCGGAAUUUUUUCUGACACUCUGCUUGUUCCUCUAGUUGCUUCUUCAGAAACGGGAAGAGUAACACUUUACAUCCCCAGAGAAAACAAACAAUACCCCAAAAAAAAACUACUGUUUUAUAGAUGUCUGCAAAGGAUUGGAGCAUCUUCACCUAAAAGCUUACUGUGCAACAACACGGAUUCUGCACAGCUGGAGUUACACUACUAUUCGGCAGGUGGUGACAGCUGUGUGCAGUGCACAAAUCUCUACCUUACCUCCUCUGUAGUACAGUGACCUAACAGCGUAUGAAUGACACCAUCAAAGAGGCAAAUUGAAAAAGCUGUUCUAGCACGCCCGACGGGACCCACUGCCCAGCGCUUGCUAAUCUGCUCUGACACUGCGUGUGUGAACCUCCUGUUUCAGUGCUCGACCCGCAGACACCCACCCAAGCGUCCUUCUCGGACAUCUGUUCCCUAGACGCCGGGGCUCAUCACCAAGCUCAUUAAGAGAUCGGCGCUGCAGAGGCGCUGCCGCCGGUCCAUCUGUCGAGUUUUCCUACAUCUGUGUGUGCCAGGGCAGGCUCAGGCCUGUCGCGUCCCCGGCUUGCCCAGCAAUCCUUAAGGUCCAACGCCCGUUGGGGCCCGGGUAACUCCCUCCACACCCCGCGGCCUCGGCAGUACCUGAGCUGCGGCGGGCGGUGGCCCCCGCUCAUAGAGCGCGGCGGGGGCCCGGGUGCGCGGGUCGAGCGGAGUGCGGAGGCAGGAGGCGGCCAGCCGCGCCGCUCGGUGCGCAGCCUCCAUGGCGCUCGCUCUCCGGGCUUGGCGGGGAAGCAAAGCAGGGAUCCGGCGCCCCCAGUGCCGCGGUCGACUCUCCCGCUCCGCCUCCGCGGCGCGGCUGGAGGCGGGCGUUGAGCGGAAGAGGAGGGAUUUAGCGGCCGCUGGCGCGGAGCCUGGCAGGGUGCUGCAGGGUGAGCGACGGUGCGGCUCGGGGCGACGAACAGCCCCCGCCCGCCACGGGUCGGCCGGCGGGCGGGUGAGGUGAGGCCGGCAGUGCCCUGGAGCCAACCCUUCCCCUUCCAGCCCCGCUCCGCUUCUCGCCCUGCCCUAGAGUGCCAGAGCGCGGAGCUGAAGCUCGACUUCAUCCUCUGCCCCUUCAGCUCUUGCUCACUACUGUCUGUAGGAUUUUUUUUCGAGAGUUUAGUGGGAACCUUCACUUCUUUCCCGGACAAGCCCGCAUAUUUUUUGCUUCUCAAAUUACUGAACAAUCUUCCGUCUUAACCUCCACACUUCCGAUAAGCAAUUACAGGAAAAGGGUAACCCAGGAUCGGCAGGAAAAUUUUCCUACCUCUGCAGAGAAGCAGUAAUAAUUCUGAACCUAUUCGUUGAACUACAUUAAAGAAUUUUUUUAUGUAAAGACACAGAUGGAAAUAUUACAUCACAGAGUAGUUCUAAUUCUUGUCAAGAACUCAAAGUUUGCAAUGGUGGGUAAGGAAAGCAUUAAUCAAAGCUACUAACGAAAUGGAGGUCAGUGGUAGAGGUGAUCUCAUGAGGUAAGUUGUCUUUUUUAAUGUAAGAAUAGGUAAUACAUAAUUAAUGCAGAGCAAUAAUGCCUAAAUAGAUUGUCUAACUCAU